rnacentral:rRNA from 1 species
AUUGAACGCUGGCGGCAUGCUUUACACAUGCAAGUCGAACGGUAACAGGCCGCAAGGUGCUGACGAGUGGCGAACGGGUGAGUAAUGCAUCGGAACGUGCCCAGCCGUUGGGGAUAACGCAGCGAAAGCUGUGCUAAUACCGCAUACGAUGUGGGGAUGAAAGCGGGGGACCGGAAGACCUCGCGCGAAUGGAGCUGCCGAUGUCAGAUUAGGUAGUUGGUGGGGUAAAGGCUCACCAAGGCAACGAUCUGUAGCUGGUCUGAGAGGAUGACCAGCCACACUGGGACUGAGACACGGCCCAGACUCCUACGGGAGGCAGCAGUGGGGAAUUUUGGACAAUGGGCGAAAGCCUGAUCCAGCAAUGCCGCGUGUGUGAAGAAGGCCUUCGGGUUGUAAAGCACUUUUGUCCGGAAAGAAAUCGCUCUGGUUAAUACCUGGGGUCGAUGACGGUACCGGAAGAAUAAGGACCGGCUAACUACGUGCCAGCCGCCGCGGUAA